CUCUGUCUGUCUGUCAGCAGAGCGAAAAGCUGUGGGAGGAGCUCCUGAGUUGAAGGGGGAAAGCGUCCAGAAGGAGAACUGCCCAGGAGACGGCAAGUUGCCAUGGAAACAAAAGCAGAACUCGGGAACCAGCAGUCAGCCACUGAAGUUGAAAGGAUCCUGGCUGUUUGACCUGUUUCUCCUUGUCUUUCCAUGGAAACAGAGGUUUCAGAGGGGAGGGAAAAGCUUGCAAAACGGCAAUGUCACAGAACUGACCACAUUCAUCACAAUAUGGAGUCUGGAGAGCGGUUAUCGUCAUCAUCAACUUCCUCUACUGCAGCUACUUCGUCUCCAGCAUCUUCUACGCCUUCUGUAGCUUCAGCAGUUUCAAAGGGUGGCCUCCCCACUGGAGCUGCAUCACAGAGUUCUGCCGUCAACGCAUGUGGUCUUGAUAUAGAAAUGAUCUUGUGACUCCUUAAAUAAACUUUGAUGAAGAACAGAUCUGGUGCCUAAA
rnacentral:lncRNA from 1 species